GGGCCGAGUAGUUAAGGCGAUGGAUUUUAAAUCCAUUGGGGUCUCCUGCGUAGGUUCGAAUCCUACCGGCUGCG